rnacentral:rRNA from 1 species
CCUACGGGCGGCAGCAGUGGGGAAUAUUGCACAAUGGGGGAAACCCUGAUGCAGCGACGCCGCGUGAGUGAAGAAGUAAUUCGUUAUGUAAAGCUCUAUCAGCAGGGAAGAAAAUGACGGUACCUGAGUAAGAAGCCCCGGUUAACUCCGUGCCAGCAGCCGCGGUAAUACGGAGGGGGCAAGCGUUAUCCGGAUUUACUGGGUGUAAAGGGAGCGUAGACGGCAGUGCAAGUCUGGAGUGAAAGGCGGGGCUCAACCCCCGGAGUGCUCUUGAAACUGUACGGCUGGAGUGCAGGAGUGGUAAGUGGAAUUCCUAGUGUAGCGGUGAAAUGCGUAGAUAUUAGGAGGAACACCAGUGGCGAAGGCGACUAUCUGGCUGUACAUUGACGCUGAGGCUCGAAAGCAUGGGGAUCAAACAGGAUUAGAUACCCCAGUAGUC